rnacentral:rRNA from 1 species
CAUGUUAUGUUCCUCGAUGGGUGGCUUCGGUCACCUUCAACCACCUCCCUAUAGAAAGAGGGCAAGGUCGUCGAGUCGAUGUGAGGGGAGGGACAGGUGAGCGCGGAGGAAGAGGGCGAGGCGAGCGCAGCGGGGCGCGCGCCGCCCAUUUACCGGUGCCGCCGCGAGGCGAAGGGCGGCAAGGAGAGGAGCGCGCGGCGUGGAUUUUGGUGGCGGCGGCGGACGUGGGCCUCCUGCCGCAGUCGGUGGGAGUCCCAGCGGCGCGACGGGCUUAGGCGGGGGCAGAGACGGGGGCGGAGGUGGAGGCUUCUUGCCGGCCUCAAGAGCGGCGGCCGUCCCAAGCGCGGAGGCCACGGGUUCGCGAAGCGCCAAUUCCUACCGGUCGAGCGGUCGCACCGGCCGCGCCGGGAGCGGGACGGAAAGGCGGAGCCGUGGCCGGAGAAGCAGGAUCCUAUGAGCCAUAGUGAUCAGAGGCGGCUGUUUUAUGGGAGUCUGGUUAUGAGAGACCUUAAAGAUCCAGAUUUCCAAUUCCUCUGGAGUUUCUAUCUAGUCACGGCAGCUGGUCUUUUUGGAUAACUCUAUAUGCUCAAACUUCCUACAGGUAAAACAGCUUUCCACUCUCUCUACCAUAGGCACAACCUGGAACUACAAAAUAAAAUGGGGACAGGAGUUUUCCCCGGUUGUAAAGCAGGUUUCCAAAAUCUCUACCCACCCUUCUUUGUCAAGGGAAUGUACCACCUAGGUUUGUGUCCUCAACGGUACAUACUUAGUCUACGGUAAUAUUUUAUGGAACGCCUGUGUAUGCCACUACCUUGACAGGGCUAAUACGAUAGCGAACCAGAUAAAUGCUGUUAUUGUCGUCCCGAACGAUACUAAACCGCACAGACCUUCCCUAGAAGGAUGUGACAAAGUUUCGAAGGUGGGGUCGGCUAUCUCUAGACCCGUAUGCUCCCUAGAGGAAAGACAUUUUAUCGUGCUCUCCGAGAACAACUUAACCUCAACGGUGUGAACGAUGUGUCGACACGAGCACCGUCGGGCUUCGCUGUCCUUUAAAAGUUCUUUGUACCGGAAAAGGUCCGCGGAAUAUAGCUCCUAGGAUUGUGCCCCCAGUUCUACAAGCUUUCGCGGCUCUAGCACCUCAUGGAUUCCCGUUGUAUGUGUGAGAUAGGAGUCAUGGUUUUAGAGACUUCACAGCUAUAUACUACCGCUGAACCCCAAUAUAUCAUCUCUUCGUUCUUGACCCGGUUCAUAAGAGUUCAGUGCCACGUUCAACUCUAUAACCUCCCUUGACUCUCCGAAUACGAAGCAGAGACGGAAGUUACGAACGGUCUCGUGAGUGGUCCUCAAGUUUGUUAUAUGGACCCGCCUAUCGGUGGUGACGAGAAACGCUACUACUAGACAUACUGGUCCCAAAGUUUUUGUGCAUCGGAGCAAACCACGUGCCCAUUUUGGGUCCCGACC